rnacentral:rRNA from 1 species
CUGUGAAGCUUGGACGCUAGUUCAGGUGGAGUCAUUGUUGAAAUACCACUCUGGUCAUAUUGGAUAUCUAACUUCGAACCGUAAUCCGGUUCAGGGACAGUGCAUGGUGGGUAGUUUAACUGGGGCGGUUGCCUCCCAAAAAGUAACGGAGGCGCCCAAAGGUUCCCUCAACCUGGUUGGUAAUCAGGUGUCGAGUGUAAGUGCACAAGGGAGCUUGACUGUGAGACUGACAAGUCGAGCAGGGACGAAAGUCGGGACUAGUGAUCCGGCAGUGGCUUGUGGAAGCGCUGUCGCUCAACGGAUAAAAGGUACCUCGGGGAUAACAGGCUGAUCUUGCCCAAGAGUCCAUAUCGACGGCAUGGUUUGGCACCUCGAUGUCGGCUCGUCGCAUCCUGGGGCUGGAGUAGGUCCCAAGGGUUGGGCUGUUCGCCCAUUAAAGCGGUACGCGAGCUGGGUUUAGAACGUCGUGAGACAGUUCGGUCCCUAUCCUCUGCGCGCGCAGGAAAUUUGAGAAGAUCUAUCCCUAGUACGAGAGGACCGGGAUGGACGAACCUCUGGUGUGUCAGUUGUUCCGCCAGGAGCACCGCUGAUUAGCUACGUUCGGAAUGGAUAACCGCUGAAAGCAUCUAAGCGGGAAGCCAGCUUCGAGAUGAGAUUUCCAUGGCUUAGGCCGAGAGACUCGCAGCUAGACUACUGCGUUGAUAGGCUGGAUGUGGAAGCAGGGACUAAAGACCUGUGGAGCUGACCAGUACUAAUAAGUCGAUAAAUUGAUAACA